UACGGAGGGGGCAAGCGUUGUUCGGAAUUACUGGGCGUAAAGGGCGCGUAGGCGGGCAACCAAGUCCGGGGUGAAAUCCUCCAGCUCAACUGGAGAAGUGCCUCGGAUACUGGCUGCCUCGAGGAGGGUAGGGGCAUCUGGAACUAGCGGUGGAGCGGUGAAAUGCGUUGAUAUCGCUAGGAACUCCGGUGGCGAAGGCGAGGUGCUGGACCCUUUCUGACGCUGAGGCGCGAAAGCCAGGGGAGCGAACGGG
rnacentral:rRNA from 1 species